rnacentral:RNase_P_RNA from 1 species
GCAAUCGGUCGGACGAUCGCGCAUUCGUAUCCAUAUGAUACCUAUUCGAGGAAAGUCCGGGCUCCAGUGGACAGGCCGCCAGGUAACCCCUGGGCACGGAUAGCGAGAGCCAUUCGUGACGGAAAGUGCCACAGAAAAAAGACCGCCAUCUUUUAGGUGGCAAGGGUGAAACGGUGGGGUAAGAGCCCACCGCGCUCAUGGCAACGUGAGCGGCAGGGCAAACCCCGGCUGGAGCAAGGCCAAAUAUGCGGCGAGAGGCGUUCACCUCGAUCAAGACACCGCGGGUAGGCUGCUAGAGAGCAUGGGCGACUAUGCUCGUAGAGAAAUGAUCGUCCGGAUUAUGCGAGUAGUCCGACAGAACCCGGCUUACAGACCGAUUGCUGAU